GGGCCCAUAGCUCAACGGUUAGAGCCGCCGGCUCAUAACCGGCCUGUUCCAGGUUCGAAUCCUGGUGGGCCCACCA
rnacentral:tRNA from 2 species